UACGAAGGGGGCUAGCGUUGCUCGGAAUCACUGGGCGUAAAGGGUGCGUAGGCGGGUCUUUUAAGUCAGGGGUGAAAUCCCGGGGCUCAACCCCCGGAACUGCCUUUGAUACUGGGUAUCUCGAGUCCGGAAGAGGUAAGUGGAAUUCCGAGUGUAGAGGUGAAAUUCGUAGAUAUUCGGAGGAACACCAGUGGCGAAGGCGGCUCACUGGUCCGGUACUGACGCUGAGGUGCGAAAGCGUGGGGAGCAAACAGG
rnacentral:rRNA from 1 species